UACGGAGGGUGCAAGCGUUAUCCGGAUUCACUGGGUUUAAAGGGUGUGUAGGCGGACAGUUAAGUCGGCGGUGAAAUCUCCGGGCUCAACCCGGAAACUGCCAUUGAUACUAUCUGUCUUGAAUAUUGUUGAGGUGGGCGGAAUAUGUCAUGUAGCGGUGAAAUGCUUAGAUAUGACAUAGAACACCGAUUGCGAAGGCAGCUCACUAAACAAUGAUUGACGCUGAGGCACGAAAGCGUGGGGAGCAAACAGG
rnacentral:rRNA from 1 species